AACAGAAAGUAGCUUGCUACUUUGCUGACGAGCGGCGGACGGGUGAGUAAUGCUUGGGAACAUGCCUUGAGGUGGGGGACAACAGUUGGAAACGACUGCUAAUACCGCAUAAUGUCUACGGACCAAAGGGGGCUUCGGCUCUCGCCUUUAGAUUGGCCCAAGUGGGAUUAGCUAGUUGGUGAGGUAAUGGCUCACCAAGGCAACGAUCCCUAGCUGGUUUGAGAGGAUGAUCAGCCACACUGGAACUGAGACACGGCCCAGACUCCUACGGGAGGCAGCAGUGGGGAAUAUUGCACAAUGGGCGAAAGCCUGAUGCAGCCAUGCCGCGUGUGUGAAGAAGGCCUUCGGGUUGUAAAGCACUUUCAGUCAGGAGGAAAGGGUGUGAGUUAAUACCUGCUAUCUGUGACGUUACUGACAGAAGAAGCACCGGCUAACUCCGUGCCAGCAGCCGCGGUAAUACGGAGGGUGCGAGCGUUAAUCGGAAUUACUGGGCGUAAAGCGUACGCAGGCGGUUUGUUAAGCGAGAUGUGAAAGCCCCGGGCUCAACCUGGGAACUGCAUUUCGAACUGGCAAACUAGAGUGUGAUAGAGGGUGGUAGAAUUUCAGGUGUAGCGGUGAAAUGCGUAGAGAUCUGAAGGAAUACCGAUGGCGAAGGCAGCCACCUGGGUCAACACUGACGCUCAUGUACGAAAGCGUGGGG
rnacentral:rRNA from 1 species